rnacentral:rRNA from 1 species
GGCCGCAGUAUAUUGACUGUGCUAAGGUAGCAUAAUUAAUUGCCUUAUAAUUGAAGGAUUGUUUGAAUGGUAUCACCAGGUGAGUUUUAAAAUGUGGGUUAUUAUAAGAAAUUGGUUUUUCGGUGCAGAACCCUAUAAGGUUUAAUAAGACGGAAAGACCCCAAGAGCUUUAUAAUGUUUUUGUUUACUUGGGGCAAGGGCAUAUUUUUUAUAUGCUUUUUGAUCCUUCGGGGUUAAAGAUGUAAGUUACCUUGGGGAUAACUAGGUAAGAGGUGAAGAGAGUUCCUAUCGAUUCAUUUAUUUGCCAUCUCGAUGUUGACUUAAGGUGAAUAUGUUGGCGCAGAAGUUUUCAUAUUAGGUCUGUUCGACCUUAUAGCCUUUCAUGAGUUGAGUUAAGACCGGCGUGAGCCAGGUCGGUUCUUAUCUAUUGGUGUCUUGACUUAGUACGAAAGGAUUGGUUAG